GAUGAACGCUGGCGGCGUGCCUAAUACAUGCAAGUCGAGCGAACGGACGAGGAGCUUGCUUCUCUGAUGUUAGCGGCGGACGGGUGAGUAACACGUGGAUAACCUACCUAUAAGACUGGGAUAACUUCGGGAAACCGGAGCUAAUACCGGAUAAUAUUUUGAACCGCAUGGUUCAAAAGUGAAAGACGGUCUUGCUGUCACUUAUAGAUGGAUCCGCGCUGCAUUAGCUAGUUGGUAAGGUAACGGCUUACCAAGGCAACGAUGCAUAGCCGACCUGAGAGGGUGAUCGGCCACACUGGAACUGAGACACGGUCCAGACUCCUACGGGAGGCAGCAGUAGGGAAUCUUCCGCAAUGGGCGAAAGCCUGACGGAGCAACGCCGCGUGAGUGAUGAAGGUCUUCGGAUCGUAAAACUCUGUUAUUAGGGAAGAACAUAUGUGUAAGUAACUUUGCACAUCUUGACGGUACCUAAUCAGAAAGCCACGGCUAACUACGUG
rnacentral:rRNA from 1 species